rnacentral:misc_RNA from 1 species
GAUGAAGAACGUAGCGAAAUGCGAUAAGUAAUGUGAAUUGCAGAAUUCAGUGAAUCAUCGAAUCUUUGAACGCACCUUGCGCCCUUUGGCCAUUCCGAAGGGCAUGCCUGUUUGAGUAUCAUGAACACCUCAACUCUCAUGGCUCGCCAUGAUGAGCUUGGACUUUGGGGGUCUUGCUGGCCUGUGGUCGGCUCCUCUCAAAUGGAUCAGCUUGCCAGUGUUUGGUGGCAUCACAGGUGUGAUAACUAUCUGCGCUUGUGGUUUUCCAUCAGAUAACCUUCAGUGAUGGAGGUUCGCUGGAGCUCAUAAACGUCUCCCCUAAGCGGGGACAGCCCUUUGAAUGUUUGAGCUCAAAUCAGGUAGGACUACCCGCUGAACUUAAGCAUAUCAAUAAGCGGAGGA